rnacentral:rRNA from 1 species
GACGAACGCUGGCGGCGUGCUUAACACAUGCAAGUCGAGCGGUAAGGCCCUUCGGGGUACACGAGCGGCGAACGGGUGAGUAACACGUGAGUAAUCUGCCCUCCACUCUGGGAUAACCAUUGGAAACGGUGGCUAAUACCGGAUAUGACCUUGGCCCGCAUGGGUUUUGGUGGAAAGUUUUUCGGUGGGGGAUGAGCUCGCGGCCUAUCAGCUUGUUGGUGGGGUGAUGGCCUACCAAGGCGACGACGGGUAGCCGGCCUGAGAGGGUGACCGGCCACACUGGGACUGAGACACGGCCCAGACUCCUACGGGAGGCAGCAGUGGGGAAUAUUGGACAAUGGGCGAAAGCCUGAUCCAGCAACGCCGCGUGAGGGAUGACGGCCUUCGGGUUGUAAACCUCUUUCAGUAGGGACGAAGCGCAAGUGACGGUACCUACAGAAGAAGGACCGGCCAACUACGUGCCAGCCGCCGCCGUAACAC